rnacentral:rRNA from 1 species
GAUGAACGCUGGCGGCGUGCCUAAUACAUGCAAGUCGAGCGAACGGACGAGAAGCUUGCUUCUCUGAUGUUAGCGGCGGACGGGUGAGUAACACGUGGAUAACCUACCUAUAAGACUGGGAUAACUUCGGGAAACCGUAGCUAAUACCGGAUAAUAUUUUGAACCGCAUGGUUCAAAAGUGAAAGACGGUCUUGCUGUCACUUAUAGAUGGAUCCGCGCUGCAUUAGCUAGUUGGUAAGGUAACGGCUUACCAAGGCAACGAUGCAUAGCCGACCUGAGAGGGUGAUCGACCACACUGGAACUGAGACACGGUCCAGACGCCUACGGGAGGCAGCAGUAGGGAAUCUUCCGCAAUGGGCGAAAGCCUGACGGAGCAACGCCGCGUGAGUGAUGAAGGUCUUCGGAUCGUAAAACUCUGUUAUUAGGGAAGAACAUAUGUGUAAGUAACUGUGCACAUCUUGACGGUACCUAAUCAGAAAGCCACGGCUAACUACGUG